rnacentral:rRNA from 1 species
AUUGAACGCUGGCGGCAGGCCUAACACAUGCAAGUCGAGCGGUAACACAGGGAGCUUGCUCCUGGGUGACGAGCGGCGGACGGGUGAGUAAUGUCUGGGAAACUGCCUGAUGGAGGGGGAUAACUACUGGAAACGGUAGCUAAUACCGCAUAACGUCGCAAGACCAAAGAGGGGGAGCUUCGGGCCUCUUGCCAUCAGAUGUGCCCAGAUGGGAUUAGCUAGUAGGUGGGGUAACGGCUCACCUAGGCGACGAUCCCUAGCUGGUCUGAGAGGAUGACCAGCCACACUGGAACUGAGACACGGUCCAGACUCCUACGGGAGGCAGCAGUGGGGAAUAUUGCACAAUGGGCGCAAGCCUGAUGCAGCCAUGCCGCGUGUAUGAAGAAGGCCUUAGGGUUGUAAAGUACUUUCAGCGGGGAGGAAGGCGUUGAGGUUAAUAACCUCAGCGAUUGACGUUACCCGCAGAAGAAGCACCGGCUAACUCCGUGCCAGCCGCCGCGGUAA